ensembl:misc_RNA Metazoa_SRP Metazoan signal recognition particle RNA
GCCAGGUGUGGUAGCUCACACCUGUAAUCCCAGCACUUUGGGAGGCCGAGGCAGGUGGAUCACUUGAGGCCAGGAGUUUUGGACCAGCCUGGCCAGCAUGGUGAAAUCCUGUCUCUA